GAUGAACGCUGGCGGCUUGCCUAAUACAUGCAAGUCGAGCGAACAGACGAGGAGCUUUCUCCUCUGACGUUAGCGGCGGACGGGUGAGUAACACGUGGAUAACCUACCUAUCAGACUGGGAUAACUUCGGGAAACCGGAGCUAAUACCGGAUAAUAUAUUGAACCGCAUGGUUCAAUAGUGAAAGACGGUUUUGCUGUCACUUAUAGAUGGAUCCGCGCCGCAUUAGCUAGUUGGUAAGGUAACGGCUUACCAAGGCACCGACGCGUCGCCGACCUGAGUGGGUGAUCGGCCACAAUGGAACUGAGACACGGUCCAGACUCCUACGGGAGGCAGCAGUAGGGAAUCUUCCGCAAUGGGUGAAAGCUUGACGGAGCAACGCCGCGUGAGUGAUGAAGGUCUUCGGAUCGUAAAACUCUGUUAUUAGGGAAGAACAAAUGUGUAAGUAACUAUGCACGUCUUGACGGUACCUAAUCAGAAAGCCACGGCUAACUACGUG
rnacentral:rRNA from 1 species